rnacentral:rRNA from 1 species
GACGAACGCUGGCGGCGUGCUUAACACAUGCAAGUCGAACGGAAAGGCCUCUUUCGGGGGGUACUCGAGUGGCGAACGGGUGAGUAACACGUGAGUAACCUGCCCUUGAGUUUGGGAUAACGUAAGGAAACUGGGGCUAAUACUGGAUAGGAGCUCCUGCUGCAUGGUGGGGGUUGGAAAGUUUCGGCGGUUGGGGAGUGAAUCGCGGCUUAUCAGCUUGUUGGUGGGGUAGUGGCUUACCAAGGCUUUGACGGGUAGCCGGCCUGAGAGUGUGACCGGCCACAUUAGGACUGAGAUACGGCCCAGACUCCUACAGGAGGCAGCAGUGGGGAAUAUUGCACAAUGGGUGGAAGCCUGAUGCAGCAACGCCGUGUGCGGGAUGACGGCCUUCGGGUUGUAAACCGCUUUCGCUCAUGACGAAGCUUUGUGUGACGGUAGUGGGUAAAAAAGCACCGGCUAACUACGUG